rnacentral:rRNA from 1 species
UGGAUCCAGACUUUGAUCCUGGCUCAGGAUGAACGCUAGCUACAGGCUUAACACAUGCAAGUCGAGGGGCAGCAUGAACUUAGCUUGCUAAGUUCGAUGGCGACCGGCGCACGGGUGAGUAACGCGUAUCCAACCUUCCCCACACUCCGGGACAGGCUUCUGAAAGGAAGAUUAAUACCGGAUGUUUUCACAUUUCCGCAUGGGGAUGUGAACAAAGAUUAGUCGGUAUGGGAUGGGGAUGCGUUCCAUUAGGCAGUAGGCGGGGUAACGGCCCACCUAACCUACGAUGGAUAGGGGUUCUGAGAGGAAGGUCCCCCACAUUGGAACUGAGACACGGUCCAAACUCCUACGGGAGGCAGCAGUGAGGAAUAUUGGUCAAUGGGCGAGAGCCUGAACCAGCCAAGUAGCGUGAAGGACGACGGCCCUAUGGGUCUUAAACUUCUUUUAUAAGGGAAUAAAAUGCGCCACGUGUGGUGUUUUGUAUGUACCUUAUGAAUAAGCAUCGGCUAAUUCCGUGCCAGCAGCCGCGGUAAUACGGAAGAUGCGAGCGUUAUCCGGAUUUAUUGGGUUUAAAGGGAGCGUAGGCGGGCUGUUAAGUCAGCGGUCAAAUCGUGCGGCUCAACCGUACCUUGCCGUUGAAACUGGUGGUCUUGGGUUCGGACAGGGCAGAUGGAAUUCGUGGUGUAGCGGUGAAAUGCUUAGAUAUCACGAAGAACUCCGACAGCGAAGGCAUUCUGCCGGGGCGAAACUGACGCUGAGGCUCGAAAGUGCGGGUAUCAAACAGGAUUAGAUACCCUGGUAGUCCGCACGGUAAACGAUGGAUGCCCGUUAUUGGCGAUAUACAGUCAGUGACCAAGCGAAAGCGUUAAGCAUCCCACCUGGGGAGUACGCCGGCAACGGUGCAACUCAAAGGAAUUGACGGA